rnacentral:rRNA from 1 species
ACAGUCACACAUUAGAUACCCUGUAGUCCUAGCCGUAAACGAUACUCGCUAGGUGUCGGCCACGGUGCGACCGUUGUCGGUGCCGUAGGGAAGCCGUGAAGCGAGCCGCCUGGGAAGUACGGCCGCAAGGCUGAAACUUAAAGGAAUUGGCGGGGAGCACGACAACGGGUGGAGCUUGCGGUUUAAUUGGAUUCAACGCCGGAAAUCUUACCGGGACCGACAGCAACAUGAAGGCCAAGCUGAAGACUUUGCCGGAUUAGCUG